rnacentral:tRNA from 1 species
GGCUUUUUAGUUUAUUUGUGAGAACACUGAUUUUGUAAAUCAGGGGUGGGGUGGUUUACCUUUAAGCCU